AAAAAGGCCCUUUUCAGGGCCGCCCACAGAGUCGUGUAAAGGGCUG
rfam:Equus caballus chromosome 20, whole genome shotgun sequence.